AUACUUACCUGGCAGGGGAGAUACCAUGAUCAGCAAGGUGGUUUUCCCAGCGUGAGGCUCAUCCAUUGCACUGCGGGUGUGCUGACCUCUGUGAUUUCCCCAAAUGUGGGAAACUCAACUGCAGAAUUUGUGGUAGGGGGGGAUUGCAUUCGCGCUUUCCCCUG
rnacentral:snRNA from 1 species